rnacentral:rRNA from 1 species
AUUGAACGCUGGCGGCAGGCUUAACACAUGCAAGUCGAGCGGGGUGAUGGUGCUUGCACUAUCACUUAGCGGCGGACGGGUGAGUAAUGCUUAGGAAUCUGCCUAUUAGUGGGGGCCAACAGCUCGAAAGGGAUGCUAAUACCGCAUACGUCCUACGGGAGAAAGCAGGGGAUCACUUGUGACCUUGCGCUAAUAGAUGAGCCUAAGUCGGAUUAGCUAGUUGGUGGGGUAAAGGCCUACCAAGGCGACGAUCUGUAGCGGGUCUGAGAGGAUGAUCCGCCACACUGGGACUGAGACACGGCCCAGACUCCUACGGGAGGCAGCAGUGGGGAAUAUUGGACAAUGGGGGGAACCCUGAUCCAGCCAUGCCGCGUGUGUGAAGAAGGCCUUAUGGUUGUAAAGCACUUUAAGUGAGGAGGAGGCUCUUUUGGUUAAUACCCAAGAUGAGUGGACGUUACUCGCAGAAUAAGCACCGGCUAACUCUGUGCCAGCAGCCGCCGUAA